CAGUGUGUCAAAAAACACAAACAUUUUAGAUUAUUUAACUAAUCAACAGUUCAACACAGAAUCAUACCAGAAACAGUACUAAAAGAUUUUCAUUUUUAUCCGGAGGCCCUGA